rnacentral:other from 1 species
CAAACCCUGCGAUGUGCGUGGAAACAAGGGAGUUUUGAGCCAACACCAAAACAAGAGGAACCUGGGCUCUGGUUGUGGCUUGUAUGCCUUGAAAAAGGGAACAAAAAGCAACCAGGAGGGUGCCACUGUGCUGAGCCGAGGUUCAGAAAACGUCCGGUUCCACGGCAUUUGUGGGGUUUCU